GUAGUUAGCCGGGGCUUCCUCCUUGGCUACCGUCACUUUCUUCGUCACCAAGGACAGAGGUUUACAACCCGAAAGCCUUCUUCCCUCACGCGGCGUUGCUGGGUCAGGCUUGCGCCCAUUGCCCAAUAUUCCCCACUGCUGCCUCCCGUAGGAGUCUGGACCGUGUCUCAGUUCCAGUGUGGCCGAUCAGCCUCUCAGCUCGGCUACCCAUCGUUGGCUAGGUGGGCCGUUACCCCGCCUACUACCUAAUGGGACGCGAACCCCUCCUUUAGCGGAUUUCUCCUUUGACCUCUGUGUCAUGCGGCACUGUGGUCUUAUGCGGUAUUAGCAGUCGUUUCCAACUGUUAUCCCCCAGUGUAAGGCAGGUUACCCACGCGUUACUCACCCGUCCGCCACUCAGUCACCUUUCCUGCAAGCAGGAAAGGUGCUUCGUUCGACUUGCAUGUGUUAAGCACGCCGCCAGCGUUCAUCCUGAGCCAGAAUCAAACUCUGA
rnacentral:rRNA from 1 species